rnacentral:rRNA from 1 species
CCUACGGGGAGCAGCAGUAGGGAAUAUUGCUCAAUGGGGGAAACCCUGAAGCAGCAACGCCGCGUGGAGGAUGAAGGUUUUAGGAUUGUAAACUCCUUUUGUGAGAGAAGAGAAUAACGGUAUCUCACGAAUAAGCACCGGCUAAAUCCGUGCCAGCAGCCGCGGUAAUACGGAGGGUGCAAGCGUUACCCGGUAUCACUGGGCGUAAGGGGUGCGCAGGCGGGCUUGUAAGUCAGAUGUGAAAUCCUGUCGCUUAACUACAGACCUGCAUUUGAAACUAGGAGUCUAGAGUGUGGGAGAGGUAGGUGGAAUUCUUGGUGUAGGGGUCAAAUCCGUAGAUAGCAAGAGGAAUACUCAUUGCGAAGGCGACCUACUGGAACAUUACUGACGCUCAUGCACGAAAGCGUGGGGAGCAAACAGGAUUAGAUACCCCAGUAGUC